ensembl:misc_RNA
AAAGCAGAAUUUGCCAACAGCAUUUUGUUUCUUGCUGUAUAUGAUUUAAAUACAUCUUUAUCAGAUAUUCAGAG